AGCGAACGCUGGCGGCAGGCCUAACACAUGCAAGUCGAACGGAUCCUUCGGGAUUAGUGGCGGACGGGUGAGUAACACGUGGGAACGUGCCUUUUGGUUCGGAACAACUCAGGGAAACUUGAGCUAAUACCGAAUGUGCCCUUCGGGGAAAGGAUUUAUCGCCAUUAGAGCGGCCCGCGUCUGAUUAGCUAGUUGGUGAGGUAAAGGCUCACCAAGGCUACGAUCAGUAGCUGGUCUGAGAGGAUGAUCAGCCACAUUGGGACUGAGACACGGCCCAAACUCCUACGGGAGGCAGCAGUGGGGAAUCUUGCGCAAUGGGCGAAAGCCUGACGCAGCCAUGCCGCGUGAAUGAUGAAGGUCUUAGGAUUGUAAAAUUCUUUCACCGGGGACGAUAAUGACGGUACCCGGAGAAGAAGCCCCGGCUAACUUCGUG
rnacentral:rRNA from 1 species